UGUUUUUAAUUAAAACAAAUAAACACCAAAACACACACACAUGUGUGUGUUUGGUCGACGUAUACACAGAGCCAGGAGAAGGGUUCUUUUCAAAACCCUAAACUCACUAAAAUCCAUCAAAAUCUAAGGGAAAUCGAGUUGGAAAUUAGGGCUUUAACUAAAUUCAUGAUCAACCAUGCUAGGAGAUCACAAGUUGACUCUAAACAAGCUAGGUGGGAGCUUGGAAAGGAACGGGUCAAACGGAUCAUGGAUGCGAAGAAUGUUUGCGCGAACGCGAGGUAAGUAAAGCUUACGCCCAAUUGUAGUAAACGUAUGUAUUUUAUAGAUGAUAAAUGUGACAACCGAUUACAUUCGAAAUUGAAGUUCCGACACUAAGCGAUGUGAGUCGGAACGAAUAAAAAUGAUCAAAACCAUGGUUAAUGGUAAAAUGGACAAAAGGGUAAUUUAGUCGUGAAUCGACUAAGAAUUUAUAAGAUUUCUUUAAGGUUACCUUAUAGCGAAACUUGAAAUGGGUCGGAUGUGUGAAGGGGAUAUUAAAAGUCAUGUUUUGACAUAAGUAUAAAUGUUUGGUCAUAAAUACCAAAUGGGUCAAAUGGUGGUGAUGACACCAUUUGACAAUAUCGACUAAUGUUUGGUUGUUAAGUUAAAUGUUCACAGGAGUGAACGGGAAGUGGAUUAUUGCGUUGCUAUAAAGUAGCGGCUAAUAAAAGAAAGGUACAAAACGGGUCUAUAUGUUGACUCGAGCCAGGUACGCAUUAAUUAGAUCAUGGCGAUAUGCGUAGUUGUAUUUUAAAAUAUAAGUUACUAUGAAAUAUAGCGAUGAUAUCGCCACAUUGAAUAUUUGGUCAAAAGAUGGUUAGAACUCGUUGGUAGUCGUCAAAAAGGAAGGAAUUCCGUAGACGAGCCAAACGGGUCGAAUAAUCAAGUAAGGCAUGGUUAUUGUUUCGGAUUAUGAUGGUUUGAUGGUUGAUUUUGAAUAUUUUAUAACAUAUUAGAAAUAUGAGGUUUUAAUGAAUUAGUAUCAUAGAAAACUGAAAACCGAGAGUCGGGUCUUGGAGUAAUGAUCAAACAAAACAAAACCUGACAUUCCAGGUACUACCGUAAAUUACGGUAGAACCGUAAUUUACGGUGGUUGUGAUAUGGUUUACGGAGCAGAUCUCCUGGUUUACGGUGACCAGACAUUUCCAGGUCUCACCGUAAAUUACGGUGAUACCGUAAUUUACGGUGGAUUCAGAAUCACUUUUUAUAUUUUUGUUAUUUCUAAUGUGGCAUUAAGCCUUGGGAUUAUGUUAUUAUAUAACAACGUCAAAACUAAUGAUUUUAACGGUUUUGAUCAUAGGUGAAU
rnacentral:lncRNA from 1 species